UUAAGUUCAGCGGGUCUUCCUACCUGAUCCGAGGUCAACCUUGGGUAAAAUAAGGCUUUUAACGGCCGGAACCCGCAGCACGCCCUGAGCGAGAUGUAAACUACUACGCUCGGAGUGACAGCAAGCCCGCCACUGGUUUCAGGCCGUACGGCAGCCGCAGGUCCCCAACACAAGCCUGGGGCUUGAUGGUUGAAAUGACG
rnacentral:misc_RNA from 1 species